AUACGAAGGGGGCCAGCGUUGUUCGGAUUUACUGGGCGUAAAGCGCACGUAGGCGGAUUGAUUAGUUAGGGGUGAAAUCCCGAGGCUCAACCUCGGAACUGCCUCUAAAACUGUCAAUCUCGAGACCGGAAGAGGUGAGUGGAACUCCUAGUGUAGAGGUGGAAUUCGUAGAUAUUAGGAAGAACACCAGUGGCGAAGGCGGCUCACUGGUCCGGUACUGACGCUGAGGUGCGAAAGCGUGGGGAGCGAACAGGAUUAGAAACCCUAGUAGUCC
rnacentral:rRNA from 1 species